rnacentral:rRNA from 1 species
GAUGAACGCUAGCUACAGGCUUAACACAUGCAAGUCGAGGGACCGGCGCACGGGUGAGUAACACGUAUCCAACCUGCCCUUUACUCGGGGAUAGCCUUUCGAAAGAAAGAUUAAUACCCGAUAUAAAGGUUGGGGAUGCGUUCCAUUAGGUUGUGGGUGAGGUAACGGCUCACCAAGCCUUCGAUGGAUAGGGGUUCGGAGAGGAAGGUCCCCGACAUUGGAACUGGGACACGGUCCAAACGCGUAGGAGAGGAAGCAGUGAGGAAUAUAUGGGAAUGUGCGCUAGCCUGAACCAGCCAAGUAGCGUGAAGGAUGAAGGCUUAUGGGGCGUAAUCGUCUUUUAUAUAAGAAUAGGUAUUAUAUGAAUAAGGAUCGGCUAACUCCGUGCCAGCAGCCGCGGUAAUUC